UGGUUCGGUGACUGUAUGCUACUGUAUACAUUUUCAUAUUUUGUCUCGCUUCAAAUCCAAAAGAUGAAAAUACAUUUAGCAUUGAAAAUACAAGAUGUAAUGUAGUUUAUUCAUCCGUUUUCAACGGAUCACCAGACAUUACUGUAAUUGCAGCGUUUGCCUGGAGGAAAGAAGAGGUACCUCUCCUUGGAGACUUCCUGGGAUGCAAAACUCUAGCGCAAGACACAAGAGUGGAGCGCAAUACUGCUGCUGUCUGAUUGGCGAACCGUCCAUCGCUUCAUCGUUUGACAUUAGUUCUACUCGACGGAGCUCUAACCAGCUCUAUUGCAACCAGGACUCGACCAGGAGACAUCUAACUUGUAGAGACAGUAGGCUAACAUUUGUCUCGGUUUUGUUUAGUCGGAAAAGCCUAUUAUUUAAGAAAUAGGCGGGCGCCCUUUCGUGGUGCUGAAGAUAGAAGGACUCUUGGCUGAUCUACGAGUGAGGAGAAUCAGUACACGAGCCCACACUUUCAGCCCCGUAUUGUCAGCUUUAUGAUAUCAGGUGCCUUCGCUAAGGCAGCAGUUUGAGCUGAGGCAGGAUAGCAGGAUGCUGUGGGUGGAGUGUAGGAUAGUGGACGCCCUGCGUGGGAGAAGACGGAUGAGGGCCACGGCCGUCAAGCUGCCCUGCUCCUUCUGGUUCCUCCUGCUGUUCGGGGCCGGAGGCCUUGUCCUCUUCAUACACCUCCAGGACCUCUCAGAGAUGGUCCAGCAACAGGCUCCAGAUGAUGCAGUGAUCCUCAACAGAAACAGAUGAUGCAGUGAUCCUCAACAGAAACAGAUGAUGCAGUGAUCCUCAACAGAAACAGAUGAUGCAGUGAUCCUCAACAGAAACAGCCAGCUGCAAGCUUACAUCUUGUCACAAGAAAAAUGAAUAUAAGCCUGUUUUAUGCCAUAUAGCCAACACCACUGUCCAAGGCCUGUCUAGAGCCACAACCCUAGAUGGUCUACCACUAAAAACACCCGUAUCAGACCAUCUGAAAAACAGACAGACAGGCCAGGGUGACCUGCUUUCUGCUCUAUAUCAAAUGUCAGUUGACAAGAAAAACAUCCGUUCCUCUCUCAAACACUUGAAAGAGAAACCAUUCAAAGAUAUAGCAGACUUUUUUAACCCUUUCUUUUUCAAGUGAUGCAACUCUCUGUAAAUACUUUUGUAACUGGGAGAACUC